CCUACGGGUGGCUGCAGUGAGGAAUAUUGGUCAAUGGACGAGAGUCUGAACCAGCCAAGUAGCGUGAAGGAGGACUGUCCUGUGGGUUGUAAACUUCUUUUGUAAAGGAAUAAAACGAGGCACGUGUGCCUGGUUGCGUGUACUUGAUGAAUAAGGAUCGGCUAACUCCGUGCCAGCAGCCGCGGUAAUACGGAGGAUCCGAGCGUUAUCCGGAUUUAUUGGGUUUAAAGGGGGCGUAGAUGGGUUGUUAAGUCAGUUGUGAAAGUUUGCGGCUCAACCGUAAAAUUGCAAUUGAUACUGGCAGUCUUGAGUAGAGUAGAGGUAUGCGGAAUUCGUGGUGUAGCGGUGAAAUGCUUAGAUAUCACGAAGAACUCCGAUUGCGAAGGCAGCUUACUAACCUGUGACUGACAUUGAUGCUCGAAAGUGUGGGUAUCAAACAGGAUUAGAUACCCGAGUAGUC
rnacentral:rRNA from 1 species